UAGGGAAUCUUCCACAAUGGGCGAAAGCCUGAUGGAGCAACGCCGCGUGAGUGAAGAAGGUUUUCGGAUCGUAAAACUCUGUUGUAAGGGAAGAACAAGUGCAGUAGUAACUGGCUGCACCUUGACGGUACCUUAUUAGAAAGCCACGGCUAACUACGUGCCAGCAGCCGCGGUAAUACGUAGGUGGCAAGCGUUGUCCGGAAUUAUUGGGCGUAAAGCGCGCGCAGGCGGUUUCUUAAGUCUGAUGUGAAAGCCCCGGGCUUAACCGGGGAGGGUCAUUGGAAACUGGGAGACUUGAGUGCAGAAGAGGAAAGUGGAAUUCCAAGUGUAGCGGUGAAAUGCGUAGAGAUUUGGAGGAACACCAGUGGCGAAGGCGACUUUCUGGUCUGUAACUGACGCUGAGGCGCGAAAGCGUGGGGAGCAAACAGG
rnacentral:rRNA from 1 species